rnacentral:misc_RNA from 1 species
UUUCUUUAGGAACUGGAAACUCAGAGAGCUGCUUGUAAUUUCAAAGCUACCGAGGCAAAGGUGUUAAGUAAGGCCCCGUUUGUUCCUAAACCGUCGGAGAAACCUUUAGCAGAGAUCUCAAAUUUUACUCUGCAUACAGAUAGGAGAGCUGAGGAGAGGGGACAGUUUGAAAUGGAGAAAAAAAAGAAAGAAGUUGAUCUAGAGGAGGCGAAGAGGAACAGAGAGGAGAGGAAGAAACGAGAAGAGGAAGAAGAGAUUGCCCGACUUAGAAAACAGGCUGUUCACAAAGCUCAGCCCAUCCGAGGAUAUAAACCUGUGGAGAUCCGGCCCUCUGACCGACCUCUCACCCUACCUGUGUCUCCUCGCCUGUCGGUCAGGAGUAAGAAUAAUUCAACCUUCAACCGAACAUCUCAAAGUCAGGACUGAGUCUAGCGUAGAGACAGAUUUGGAGAUAUUUUUACGUUUUUAUAACUUUCAACGAUAUACAUUUAUUUAUCUGCUGUGCACUGAACACUUUACAUCACUGUCUUGUAAAAAGUAUUAGUAAAAGUAUAUUUUUCUUACUCGUCUUUAAACUGUUAUCUAACAUUUUUCCAAACCCUGUUCAAAUUUAGCUUUUGUUUUUUAAUUUAUUGUGGAGUGAGGCAGAAAAUAUACAACCCUGAUAUUUGUAUGAUGACAAUUUAUAAAUUUUAUUGUGAUAACUGAUUAAGAAACAAUGACUAGUAAAUCUUCUCUACUAACAUUAGAUUGUAAAGUAAAGAGGUAUUGAAUAAAAUUAUUUCAAUA